CGCGCAGGCGGUUAUUUAAGCAGGAUGUGAAAGGUUUCGGCUCAACCGAAGACAUGCACCCUGAACUGGAUAACUUGAGUAUUGGAGAGGCAGGCAGAAUUCCUGGUGUAGCGGUGAAAUGCGUAGAUAUAUGGAAGAACACCAGUGGCGAAGGCGGCUUUCUGGACUGUAACUGACGUUGAGGCUCGAAAGUGUGGUAGCAAACA
rnacentral:rRNA from 1 species